GGGGCUGUGGUCUAGCUUGGAUUAUGAUACACGCUUGGGGUGCGUGUGAUCGGGGGUUCAAAUCCCCUCAGCCCCA
rnacentral:tRNA from 1 species